GUUUACUAACCCUGAACCUACUAACAGGCCUUCAACCCCAGGGUAUGGUUUACUAACCCUGAACCUACUAACAGGCCUUCAACCCCAGGGUAUGGUUUACUAACCCUGAACCUCCUAACAGCCUCAGGCCUUCAACCCCAGGGUAUGGUUUACUAACCCUGAACCUACUAACAGGCCUUCAACCCCAGGGUAUGGUUUACUAACCCUGAACCUACUAACAGGCCUUCAACCCCAGGGUAUGGUUUACUAACCCUGAACCUACUAACAGGCCUUCAACCCCAGGGUAUGGUUUACUAACCCUGAACCUCCUAACAGCCUCAGGCCUUCAACCCCAGGGUAUGGUUUACUAACCCUGAACCUACUAACAGGCCUUCAACCCCAGGGUAUGGUUUACUAACCCUGAACCUACUAACAGCCUUAGGCCUUCAACCCCAGGGUAUGGUUUACUAACCCUGAACCUACUAACAGGCCUUCAACCCCAGGGUAUGGUAUACUAACCCUGAACCUACUAACAGGCCUUCAACCCCAGGGUAUGGUUUACUAACCCUGAACCUACUAACAGGCCUUCAACCCCAGGGUAUGGUUUACUAACCCUGAACCUCCUAACAGGCCUUCAACCCCAGGGUAUGGUUUACUAACCCUGAACCUACUAACAGGCCUUCAACCCCAGGGUAUGGUUUACUAACCCUGAACCUACUAACAGGCCUUCAACCCCAGGGUAUGGUUUACUAACCCUGAACCUACUAACAGGCCUUCAACCCCAGGGUAUGGUUUACUAACCCUGAACCUACUAACAGGCCUUCAACCCCAGGGUAUGGUUUACUAACCCUGAACCUACUAACAGUCCUUCAACCCCAGGGUAUGGUUUACUAACCCUGAACCUACUAACAGGCCUUCAUCCCCAGGGUAUGGUUUACUAACCCUGAACCUACUAACAGCCUCAGGCCUUCAACCCCAGGGUAUGGUUUACUAACCCUGAACCUACUAACAGGCCUUCAACCCCAGGGUAUGGUUUACUAACCCUGAACCUACUAACAGGCCUUCAACCCCAGGGUAUGGGUUACUAACGCUGAACCUACUAACAGGCCUUCAACCCCAGGGUAUGGUUUACUAACCCUGAACCUACUAACAGGCCUUCAACCCCAGGGUAUGGUUUACUAACCCUGAACCUACUAACAGGCCUUCAACCCCAGGGUAUGGUUUACUAACCCUGAACCUACUAACAGGCCUUCAACCCCAGGGUAUGGUUUACUAACCCUGAACCUCCUAACAGCCUCAGGCCUUCAACCCCAGGGUAUGGUUUACUAACCCUGAACCUACUAACAGGCCUUCAACCCCAGGGUAUGGUUUACUAACCCUGAACCUCCUAACAGCCUCAGGCCUUCAACCCCAGGGUAUGGUUUACUAACCCUGAACCUACUAACAGGCCUUCAACCCCAGGGUAUGGUUUACUAACCCUGAAUCUACUAACAGGCCUUCAACCCCAGGGUAUGGUUUACUAACCCUGAACCUACUAACAGGCCUUCAACCCCAGGGUAUGGUUUACUAACCCUGAACCUCCUAACAGCCUCAGGCCUUCAACCCCAGGGUAUGGUUUACUAACCCUGAACCUACUAACAGGCCUUCAACCCCAGGGUAUGGUUUACUAACCCUGAACCUACUAACAGCCUUAGGCCUUCAACCCCAGGGUAUGGUUUACUAACCCUGAACCUACUAACAGGCCUUCAACCCCAGGGUAUGGUAACUAACCCUGAACCUACUAACAGGCCUUCAACCCCAGGGUAUGGUUUACUAACCCUGAACCUACUAACAGGCCUUCAACCCCAGGGUAUGGUUUACUAACCCUGAACCUACUAACAGGCCUUCAACCCCAGGGUAUGGUUUACUAACCCUGAACCUACUAACAGGCCUUCAACCCCAGGGUAUGGUUUACUAACCCUGAACCUACUAACAGCCUCAGGCCUUCAACCCCAGGGUAUGGUUUACUAACCCUGAACCUACUAACAGGCCUUCAACCCCAGGGUAUGGCUUACUAACCCUGAACCUACUAACAGCCUUAGGCCUUCAACCCCAGGGUAUGGUUUACUAACCCUGAACCUACUAACAGGCCUUCAACCCCAGGGUAUGGUUUACUAACCCUGAACCUACUAACAGGCCUUCAACCCCAGGGUAUGGUUUACUAACCCUGAACCUACUAACAGCCUUAGGCCUUCAACCCCAGGGUAUGGUUUACUAACCCUGAACCUACUAACAGGCCUUCAACCCCAGGGUAUGGUAUACUAACCCUGAACCUACUAACAGGCCUUCAACCCCAGGGUAUGGUUUACUAACCCUGAACCUACUAACAGGCCUUCAUCCCCAGGGUAUGGUUUACUAACCCUGAACCUACUAACAGCCUCAGGCCUUCAACCCCAGGGUAUGGUUUACUAACCCUGAACCUACUAACAGGCCUUCAACCCCAGGGUAUGGUUUACUAACCCUGAACCUACUAACAGUCCUUCAACCCCAGGGUAUGGUUUACUAACCCUGAACCUACUAACAGGCCUUCAUCCCCAGGGUAUGGUUUACUAACCCUGAACCUACUAACAGCCUUAGGCCUUCAACCCCAGGGUAUGGUUUACUAACCCUGAACCUACUAACAGCCUUAGCCUUCAACCCCAGGGUAUGGUUUACUAACCCUGAACCUACUAACAGGCCUUCAUCCCCAGGGUAUGGUUUACUAACCCUGAACCUACUAACAGGCCUUCAACCCCAG